rnacentral:rRNA from 1 species
GACGAACGCUGGCGGCGUGCUUAACACAUGCAAGUCGAGCGGUAAGGCCCUUUCGGGGGUACACGAGCGGCGAACGGGUGAGUAACACGUGAGCAAUCUGCCCUUCACACAGGGAUAACUUCGGGAAACCGUAGCUAAUACCUGAUACGACCACUUCAGGCAUCUGAUGGUGGUGGAAAGUUCCGGCGGUGGAGGAGGAGCUCGCGGCCUAUCAGCUUGCUGGUGGGGCAAUGGCCUACCAAGGCAACGCCGGGUAGCCGGCCUGAGAGGGUGAGCGGCCACACUGGGACUGAGACACGGCCCAGACUCCUACGGGAGGCAGCAGUGGGGAAUAUUGGACAAUGGGGGAAAGCCUGAUCCAGCAACGCCGCGUGGGGGAUGACGGCCUUCGGGUUGUAAACCUCUUUCAGCAGGGACGAAGCGCAAGUGACGGUACCUGCAGAAGAAGCACCGGCCAACUACGUGCCAGCAGCCGCCGUAACAC